CUUGGAAAUGUCCUUGACUCCGCUGAGCUCCACAAACUGGUGAACUCUGUUGUCGAGAAGUUCGGAACAGACGCUACCGAACAGCAGUGUGAGAAUGAAUGCAAAGUUCUAUUUACCAACGACAUCCUCGACCUCGGCUGCGACUUCGCCUGCAAGGGAAUCCAGAAUCUGAUCCAGAAGCUCCAUACAUAAAGGAGGGUCCCGCUGCUGCUUUAAUGUAGACUCGCGAAAUAAAAUGUUAAAAGUG